rnacentral:rRNA from 1 species
GACGAACGCUGGCGGCGUGCUUAACACAUGCAAGUCGAGCGGUAAGGCCCUUUCGGGGGUACACGAGCGGCGAACGGGUGAGUAACACGUGGGUGACCUGCCCUCAGCUCUGGGAUAAGCCUGGGAAACUGGGUCUAAUACCGGAUAUGACUCCAUGACGCAUGUUGUGGGGUGGAAAGCCUUGUGCGGCUGAGGAUGGGCCCGCGGCCUAUCAGCUUGUUGGUGGGGGAUGGCCUACCAAGGCGACGACGGGUAGCCGGCCUGAGAGGGCGACCGGCCACACUGGGACUGAGACACGGCCCAGACUCCUACGGGAGGCAGCAGUGGGGAAUCUUGCGCAAUGGGCGAAAGCCUGACGCAGCGACGCCGCGUGAAGGAUGAAAUCUUUCGGGAUGUAAACUUCGGAAGAAUAGGAAGAAUAAAAUGACGGUACUAUUUUAAGGUCCGGCUAACUACGUGCCAGCCGCCGCAGU